rnacentral:rRNA from 1 species
AGUGAACGCUGGCGGUAGGCCUAACACAUGCAAGUCGAACGGCAGCACAGUAAGAGCUUGCUCUUACGGGUGGCGAGUGGCGGACGGGUGAGGAAUACAUCGGAAUCUACUUUUUCGUGGGGGAUAACGUAGGGAAACUUACGCUAAUACCGCAUACCACCUACGGGUGAAAGCAGGGGAGCUUCGGACCUUGCGCGAUUGAAUGAGCCGAUGUCGGAUUAGCUAGUUGGCGGGGUAAAGGCCCACCAAGGCGACGAUCCGUAGCUGGUCUGAGAGGAUGAUCAGCCACACUGGAACUGAGACACGGUCCAGACUCCUACGGGAGGCAGCAGUGGGGAAUAUUGGACAAUGGGCGCAAGCCUGCUCCAGCCAUACCGCGUGGGUGAAGCAGGCCUUCGGGUUGUAAAGCCCUUUUGUUGGGAAAGAAAAGCAGCAGGUUAAUACCCCGCUGUUCUGACGGUACCCAAAGAAUAAGCACCGGCUAACUUCGUG